AACGAACGCUGGCGGCAUGCCUAACACAUGCAAGUCGAACGAGACCUUCGGGUCUAGUGGCGCACGGGUGCGUAACGCGUGGGAACCUGCCCUUAGGUUCGGAAUAACUCCCCGAAAGGGGUGCUAAUACCGGAUAAUGUCUUCGGACCAAAGAUUUAUCGCCUUUGGAUGGGCCCGCGUUGGAUUAGCUAGUUGGUAGGGUAAAAGCCUACCAAGGCGACGAUCCAUAGCUGGUAUGAGAGGAUGAUCAGCCACACUGGGACUGAGACACGGCCCAGACUCCUACGGGAGGGAGCAGUGGGGAAUAUUGGAAAAUGGGCGAAAGCCUGAUCCAGCAAUGCCGCGUGAGUGAUGAAGGCCUUAGGGUUGUAAAGCGCUUUUACCCGGGAUGAUAAUGACAGUACCGGGAGAAUAAGCUCCGGCUAACUCCGUG
rnacentral:rRNA from 1 species